rnacentral:lncRNA from 1 species
GGAAGAGGAGGGGGCAGACCUGACUGCCAAUUAACACUCUCCGGGUGGCGUCUUCGGAUGCGGGCAUCUUCCCUUGGCAAUCUUGCAGAGACUGGACACCAACGUGACCAGCUCCUUGCCAUCACUCUACAGAAGGGGAAACUGAGGCUCAGAAGGUAUCUGGAUACUCUGGCAUUGCUGGGCAUUCAUGGGUCCCACUGGUCAAUCUUGGGCUGGUGGGUCCUGGAGGAGUUAGAGACGCAGGCACAUUUACCAGCACCCGCAUGCUCCCUCCCUCCUGUCCUCUUUCAGCCUUCAGCGGAGAAGCACAGCUCCACUCGCUGGUCUAGUCCCAUCUGCCUUCACACCCUCCUUAGCUUCUACCACCUGCGAGCUGGACAGGAGCACUUCCCAAAGUCAUGCCAGACACCAAGAGCCCCACAUUUAGUUCUGCGGUUCUCAUGGACCCCUGCUUUCUCCUGCCCUCUUGGCCUACUAUGGGAAGGGUCCUGGAGCUGGGGAAGCCUCCCAAAGCUGGGACUGGAUUCCAUUCUUCACCUACACAGGUAGGUAUUAUGUGAGGGUCCUUGUUACAGAGGAGAAGGAAUGAGGACUCUCAGAGUCAGGAAAACAGCGUGUAGUCCCAGUUUGACCCUUUGGGCACAUCAGCUUCAUUUUGCCCCUCAGUCUUCCCCUCUGCACAAUGGGAGUGUGUGUGUGGGGCUCCUACCCUGCCUGGGUCCCAGGGCUGUUAUGAUAAAAUGAGGCCCCACGUGGCCUAGUCCCUUUCUGCCCCUACCUACCGCAUGCAUAAGCUCGUAGUUUAUCCUGCCUCGGAGACCCCCAGCCCUGUCCCCAGCAUAUUCACAUGCCUUGGGGCCUCCAGCCUCAGAUGACCUGCCAGCAGCUCUCUGGUUACAGGGAACAGAAAGACACUUCCUUUGGGUCAGGAAUGGUUCUGCCUGAGUGGGCUGACAAGCUGGAGGGGAGGGCACCACAGUUCUUUCAUCUGUCCUUUCUGGGUUUAGUUUCUUCUCUGAGAGUGUCAGGACACUGGGAUGGUGGUGGUGAUGGAAGGGGUAAGGGGCAAGGUUUGGGGAGGAGUGAAGAGAAUUUCCUAGCCAGGGCUAGGAUGUGAGCAACAUUCUUGGCCAAGUCCUUUUCUCUCUCUCCUAAACCUAACCUUCUCUGUAUCUGGCACCCCAUUUCCCCCCCUGCUCCCAGCUACUUCUCUCUUGGGGGUAGUCAGUGAAAUGGAGCAUGCUAGAGAGCAGGUCUGAAGGGUGUGGGUGUGUGAGGAAAAAGAGACCAUUUCACUUGAGUUUCCUGGCUUUCUUACCCAACACGCACAUACACACUCACACAGGCAGUGAGCCUGGCCGGCAGUGAGAGGGCAGAGCUAGAAUGGGAGAGGGACCUCAGAGCUAGUGGCAGAGGUGGAGAGAGAAACUGAAUUGACAGGGCAGGGCAGGGGGAGGUGGAAGCUAGGCAGGCAAGGGCACCUGCCCAUCCCUCCCUCAGGGGCACAGGCCACUGGUGGGGGCAAAGAGGCGCAAGGCAGUGUUGACUC